AGCGCGGUGGCGCGGUCGGGCGCGUCGUCGAUCCGUUCGACGAGUUCGCGCGCCCGGCGUUCGGGGAGCAGCUGCGCCA
rnacentral:tRNA from 1 species